CGUUUACGUUAAUUGUUAUAAUUUAAUUCUCGGUGUCUGCUGGCCAUAUUCCAUUGUUUAUAAGUUUUACUAAGGAUUGUGCAAGUAGAGGAGUCGAUUAAGCGUGCCAGGGAAGGCGUUUUGUUUAUUUGCGUGUCCAAUAUGAGGGUAUGGAAUGCCGUUUAAAUACAGAAAUGAUGACAAUCAAACUGCUAACACAGCUUUAAUGCAGGAAAGCGUUUUAGUUAUU
rnacentral:sRNA from 1 species